rnacentral:rRNA from 1 species
UUUGAUCAUGGCUCAGGACNAACGCUGGCGGCGUGCCUAACACAUGCAAGUCGGACGGUCCGGCACUCGGCCACUAUUANCCAGUUGCAGAGGAAGAGAACCUGCAGGAGGAGUAAAGGUGCGGGAGGUAGGGAGUAACUGGUUAGCAGUGGCUGAGUGGCGGAUAGUGGCGGACGGGUGAGUAACGCGUGAACGAUCUACCCUGGGGAGGGGGAUAGCGUUUGGAAACGGACGUUAAUACCCCGUAAGCCGGGAGGUGAAAGGGAGAGAUCCCGCCCUGGGAGGGGUUCGCGUCCUAUCAGCUGGUUGGUGGGGUAACGGCCUACCAAGGCGAAGACGGGUAGCCGGUCUGAGAGGAUGGACGGCCACACUGGAACUGANACACGGUCCAGACUCCUACGGGAGGCAGCAGUGGGGAAUAUUGGGCAAUGGGCGAAAAGCCUGACCCAGCGACGCCNCGUGAGGGAAGAAGGCCUUUGGNUUGUAAACCUCUGUUGUACGGGAAGAANGNNGUGACGGUACCGUACGANGAANCCCCGGCAAACUACNUGCCANCAGCCGCGGUAA